AGGGUUUGAUUAUGGCUCAGGAUGAACGCUAGCGGCAGGCUUAACACAUGCAAGUCGAGGGGUAACAGGGAUUGCUUGCAAUCCGCUGACGACCGGCGCACGGGUGCGUAACGCGUAUGCAACCUACCUUCUACAGGGGAAUAGUCAAUAGAAAUGUUGAAUAAUACCCCAUACGAUCUUUGAAUAGCAUUAUUUAGAGAAGAAAGUUCCGGCGGUAGAAGAUGGGCAUGCGUCCUAUUAGUUAGUUGGGGAGGUAACGGCUCCCCAAGACAUCGAUAGGUAGGGGUCCUGAGAGGGAGACCCCCCACACUGGUACUGAGACACGGACCAGACUCCUACGGGAGGCAGCAGUGAGGAACAUUGGACAAUGGAGGCAACUCUGAUCCAGCCAUGCCGCGUGCAGGAAGACUGCCCUAUGGGUUGUAAACUGCUUUUAUACAGGAAGAAAUGUACCUACGUGUAGGUAUUUGACGGUACUGUACGAAUAAGGAUCGGCUAACUCCGUGCCAGCCGCCGCGGUAAUAC
rnacentral:rRNA from 1 species